rnacentral:lncRNA from 1 species
AAUGAGUUUAAAGAUAAGAAGAAGGAUUAUCCAGCUAUCCAUUAAAUUACAAUUAAAUACAAACCUUUUGAGAAUUGUGGUCUCUCUAUGAAAUCUAAUAUGUCGAACUAUAGGACCACAACAAAAAGCCAGAGUCCCAAGAAUGGAAUCGAUUAGCAGUCCUCUAAAAAAUUAAGGUGAUUGUUCACAUAAAUCACCAUUAAUUAACUGCGACAACAGUAAAGUUUGAAACACAAGUACAAGAAUUCCAAGAAAAAUCUGGAAGCCAAAUAUAUAAGGAAACCAGAAAUUGAAUACCAUCUAUCAAUUGCUUGCGAUUUUGACAUACUAUAGGUCGAAGCCUCGUGUAUUUUUCAUCCAAGUAUAGACAUAAUCUGCAAGUACCACAAAAACUUUGAGGAAAAAAAACAUACGAAAAAGUGGCAAAGGUUUAAAAGAAUAUCUCAGUGAAUAAGGUCUCUGAAUUCCAAAUCUUUUCAGAAAUAAGGUCAAUAAGUAGUUUCCUCCAAAAAACCAGUGAGAUAGAAAGCUGUGAAUACGAGCUAAUCGGUUUGAUGGAUAAUCGAAUAAUCAGAGGGGAGGGGAAUGGGUGGCCUAUGAAACGAGCAAAAUUAACGCCCCACUCCCUACUUCUGGCCUUGUAUAUCAAUGGAGCGACGAUAUUGCCCUGAACCUCUUCUUCGAAUGUCCCCUUGUAAAAGCCACUGGAGUUGCUAAAAAGUACUCUAUAACCGGUCCAUGUGUACUGUAGCCAAACCAACUCACGCUUUUUUUUGGACACCUGGUAAAGAAAGCCACGCGGACAGCAGCCACCGCCCACUCACUAGUGGAACCAAAGCAACUACAAACAAGAGGCCCACGCGGACAGAGCAAAAAGGGCCAAUAGCAAAGUUACAAUGCAAGAGAGCCAGCGGACAAAAGCAAAAUACCAGCAGAGCCACCACCAUCCAUCAACAAAAGACCAAAACGCCCCUCAAGCUUGCACAAAUCACGACAUAACCGGUCCACCAGGCACUGUUCACAAACGAUUCGUGCUUUAUAUAUGUAAGAUUUAUAAGUUAUAAAUUACUAAUAUUUACUUGAUAUUAUAUAGAUAUAUAAAAUAACAAUAAGUAAAAAACUAAAAGAAAAAAUUCGACAGAACCCUAUACUAACACACCUAAACAAGUUAAUGAGUAUGAUUUAGGUUGAAUCCAUUUGAUAUAGAUUGAAACCCAUUAAAUUUAGCUAGACUCAAACCUAACUCAAACCCUUAUUGAUCUGAAAAAGUAAAUUCAAACCCGAACCAUCAUGGGUUUGGGUAUCUAAUGGAUAUUUGUGGAUAUUUUUCUAGACAUACAAUGAAAAACCUAAAGUAAAAUAUGUGAGAACCAGAAAAUUUUCUUAUUUUUAUCUUAUUUUACUGGCUUAUUUAAUUAUUUAUUCACCCAUUUUCUUUGAAUAAUUUAUUUUAGCCAUUUUAAAUCCAUUUACAUGAAACAAUGCCUUACUUAUGUUUUUAAAACGUUUCGUUAGUAAAAUUUAUUUUUCGGAGGCUUGUUUAGUAAGGAAUAACGAGUACACAUUUUGGAGGUAAAAUUCGAUUUGAGAGUGAAAUAAUCUUGGAGAAUUAAGAAUGAUCAAUAGUGGACUAAGAAAAGUUAAUUAAGAAAUUAGAUGUGAGUGAGUUAAAAUUUAAGCUUAUACCGUGCGCGCAUCGAAAGUUUCCCGAAAGUCGCACCUGUACAGACUAAUUGGAGAUUUGAAGAAUUAAUACUUGUGUGAGGACUCAUGUUUUUAUUUCAAAAAUAGUUAUUUUUAGGAUUAUUUACCCUAGUAUUAGUGAGUUAUAUUAGCGUUACAAGAAUUUCUCUUAAGUUUCGCUUUAUCGCGCGCAAAUUGGAAGUUCGCGUUUUCCGCGUCAAAUCAACCCAAUGGAGAUUUAAAAUAUUAAUACUAGACUACUAAGAGUGAAUAAUUAUAAUGUUAAAGGAAGUACAUUAGAGGUUUAGUGUACAAAUGAAACAAACUCGAGAGAAAACGGACACGACACGCGCGCGCGCGAGUACUAUUCGUAGUUGACUUUUGCUCAAACUUUUAACCACAAACACUCAAGCUUCUCCAAGAAGCUUCAUUCAUCAGCUCUCUCCCUCUCCAUAGCCAGCCAACACUCCAAGGGAACAAGAAGGAAAACUCUUCACCAUUUCACUUCAAUUCUUGCUCCAAAUCCUCUACAAAUUACCAUCCAAUCUCAAAAUCAUUUGGAGAUUCACUUAAGCUAGGAGAUAGGCAUCAUCUCACUGUUUUUCUUGGGGCUUUAGAGGUGCAAAAAUUUCUGGUUUCUCUCAAGGAUUAGGAGGUUUAAUCUUGACUAUGAAGCUUGUAACUUCAUUAUUGAUGUUGCUAUUUGAAUUGGAAUGGUUGAUGUGGGCUCUAUGAAAUCCCAUAUUGGUUGUAUGGGCUGAUGUAAUAAUAUAAUGCUUGAUUUGGGUUGUUUAAGUGUUGUUUAAGAUAAUUAUGGAUAGAGAAUCGAAGGAAAGUUGAAGGAAAAUUUCGUAGGAAAGCUGACUGAAAUCUGCCCUAUUUUUGCCGUGGCUUUAGUUCGAAUUUUUGUUGCUCAAAUGACUUUAAAACUAAUGUAGAUAUGUUGUGUAUGGUGUGUAGAAAGUUUCUACAAAAAAUCAUUUGGAUUGGUUGGAUAAAAAUUGAAUUUUGGCAAGAACAAAUCUGGAAAAUUUGUGUAGCAGUGUUCUUUGAACGAACAUAUCUCUCUAUUCGGAAGUCGGAAUUGAGUGCCGUCAGUGGCAUUCAAAACUAGACAUCCGUAGUUUUCUAACGGUUAUAAUGCACCUUCUAAUUUGAACUGAGUCAUCUAUAGUGAUUGAACAGAAUCGGCUGCCCUGUUCUGUUAACCUAUCCGAGAGAAAGGUAGAAACCGCAUUUUGUGGCUCUAUUUUCUCUCACUUAUAAAUUGAUUUUGAAAAUGAUUUGUCUUGUGAAAUAUAUAUUUAUGAUUCUAGUUUCCAAUGCCACCAACCAGUCUCAAUUCCAAAUUGUAUUGAGUGAGAUAUGGUUUCAUUUCCAAACUGCGACAAAUCUGGAAAACCCUUCUUUUUGCUGGAUGACUAGUUUAGUUGUUUGUGAGAUGUUUUAUUUGAAAUUUUGAUGUCAACCAACUAUCCAUUGCUUAUGAAAUGUUUCUUGGACCUUGGUUUCACAAAUGAACCAAAAUGGGACUGAUUUCAUGAUGCAAAGUGUUUAAAAAGGGAAAUAAAACAAGAAGACAGAUUUGUCUUGGAAAUUUCUUGAACUUUGGUAGUUUUGUUAACUACCUUCCCGUAUGAUUUUUUACAUGAAAUUUGAUAGAGGAGUGGUCCUCAUAUGGAAGUUGAAUUACACCAAUUUUGGUGUCAUUCUAAGACCAUUUCGAUACACAAAUGAGGUCCCAAAGUUUACUUUCAAAUCUAGAAAAUUCACUAUUUAUAAGUGAAAAUUUUCCAACUUUGAGCUACUAUAUCUUGACAGUCAAAACUCCAAAUCUAAUUCCAUUUUUGCAUUUGAAACUCUGUUUGAAAUUAUCAUUGUGUUACAAAUUUCAGAAGCUAGUUCACUUUCUGUGAAUUUUGCCGAAUUUCCAAAGUUUGCCAAAAAAAUAAGACUAAAACUGUCAUGUAUGCUUAUAUCAGCCAAUUUGAGUUGAAAUUUGAAUGUCUUCUGUUUAGAAUCUUGGAAAGGUGUCUUCUAGAAAAUUUUAGUAUUUUGAACCAAGAUUCCAACAGUAUAAAUUUUUCCAAUUUUGGACCUAUUGAGUGCAAGUUCUGAUUUUUCUAAAUUUGUCAUGCAAAACUGAAAUUUUCCAAUUCGAUGGGAAAUGAGUUUUUGGAAACUCUUCCCUAUCUUUUGAAGUUGAUUGACCAUUUUAAACUUGAUUUCAUGGAAGAAAUCAGUUUUUCCUUUUGUGUUAUUAAACCCCAUUUUUGAGCUCGAUUUACGAGUAAUUAACGUUCUCUUUCAUGACAUUUUUCUUAGUAUUGUACAAGUGUACAAUCUUCCUUGUUAACAAGGGGUUUAUACGUAAUAGUAUGUGAUAGGCAAUUAUUAUUUGCUCAGGCGCUCAAGGGAACCUUCAAGAGGAUCUCGAAGCGGACGCCUAAAUACUUGUUUGAGCACUUACUCCCUUACUUUGAUUGGUGAGUGUCAAGUGCAUGUUAUAUGGUUAAAUACGUGAAUUAUUUUGCAUCAAUUAUGUGAAAUUGGAAAUUUUGAAUCGAAUGUGUACUUUAUCGCACUCAUUCUCUUUCAAAUGAAAAUUUUAUUCGAAUUUGGAUAUGUGCAUCAUACUUGAAACCAUCGAUUGGAGUGUUGUCUCAUCGACUUAUAUUCUUAUGAUUCGUAUUCGUAAUUCGUAUUUGUGGUUCGCAUUUGGAAUCGUCGAAUGGAGCGCUGCUCAUCGACUUAUAUUUGUAUUCAUAUUCGGAGGACGCCCAAACUCAUAGGCUAACCUUGUAACUCGAGCCAGCAUGGGCCUGGUUGAGAAACUUGGUGAACCAUGAGAUUAUUCGUAAAGCUUGAUCUAUUUGAGAGAUCUCGCUUGGCAUACUCGAGUAGUAUCACCUUCUAAAUGAUGAGCGGGCCCGGAAUAGGGGUGUAACGGUGAACGGGAUUCGUGAAGUAAAGUGGAGUUCUACGGACUAAAAAUACCUACCCGGAUGAUGGAGUGUCAUCACGUAGAGGUAUAUGAUCGAGACCCGGCGAAGCAAGUGAAAAUUAGCUCUUGAGAGCUCCCGUACU